rnacentral:rRNA from 1 species
GACAGAGGGUGCAAACGUUGCUCGGAAUCACUGGGCGUAAAGGGCGCGUAGGCGGACAAGUAAGUCGGGCGUGAAAUCCCUAGGCUCAACCUAGGAACUGCACUCGAAACUGCAUGUCUUGAGUACCGGAGAGGAAAGCGGAAUACCUGGUGUAGAGGUGAAAUUCGUAGAUAUCAGGUGGAACACCAGUGGCGAAGGCAGCUUUCUGGACGGUAACUGACGCUGAGGCGCGAAAGCGUGGGGAGCAAACAGG